GUCGCCAUCGUCUAGCCCGGUCCAGGACAUCAGGUUCUCAUCCUGAAGAUCAGGGGUUCGAAUCCCCUUGGCGAUA
rnacentral:tRNA from 1 species